CGUAGGAGGCGAGCGUUGUCCGGAAUUACUGGGUGUAAAGCGCGUGUAGGCGGCAGGCCAAGUCUGUGGUGAAAUCGCCCGGCUCAACUGGGCGGGGUCCAUGGAAACUGGUCAGCUGGAGGACGGCAGAGGUGAGUGGAAUUCCCGGUGUAGUGGUGAAAUGCGUAGAGAUCGGGAGGAACACCCGUGGCGAAGGCGGCUCACUGGGCCGGUCCUGACGCUGAGACGCGAAGGCGUGGGGAGCGAACGGGAUUAGAUACCCCGGUAGUCCACGCAGUAAACGAUGCACACUAGGUGUGGGGGGUAUCGAGCCCCUCCGUGCCGCAGCUAACGCAGUAAGUGUGCCACCUGGGGAGUACGGCCGCAAGGUUA
rnacentral:rRNA from 1 species